rnacentral:rRNA from 1 species
GACGAACGCUGGCGGCGUGCUUAACACAUGCAAGUCGAACGGAAAGGCCCUGCUUUUGUGGGGUGCUUGAGUGGCGAACGGGUGAGUAACACGUGAGUAACCUGCCCUUGACUUUGGGAUAACUUCUGGAAACUGGGGCUAAUACCGGAUAGGAGCACCUGCUGCAUGGUGGGGGUUGGAAAGUUUCGGCGGUUGGGGAUGGACUUGGGGCUUAUCAGUUUGUUGGUGGGGUAGGGGCUUAGCAAGGCUUUGACGGGUAGCCGACCUGAGAGGGUGACGGGGCACAUUGGGCCUGGGAAACGGGCCAGACUCCUACGGGAGGCAGCAGUGGGGAAUAUUGCACAAUGGGCGGAAGCCUGAUGCAGCAACGCCGCGUGCGAGAUGACGGCCGUCGGGUUGUAAACCGCGUUCGCCUGUGACGAAGCGUGAGUGACGGUAAUGUGUAAAGAAGCACCGGCUAACUACGUG